AGAGCACAGGUGCUGCAUGGCUGUCGUCAGCUCGUGUCGUGAGAUGUUGGGUUAAGUCCCGCAACGAGCGCAACCCCCGUCCUUAGUUGCUACCAUUUAGUUGAGCACUCUAAGGAGACUGCCGGUGAUAAGCCGCGAGGAAGGUGGGGAUGACGUCAAGUCCUCAUGGCCCUUACGGGCUGGGCUACACACGUGCUACAAUGGCGGUGACAAUGGGACGCUAAGGGGCAACCCUUCGCAAAUCUCAAAAAGCCGUCUCAGUUCGGAUUGGGCUCUGCAACUCGAGCCCAUGAAGUUGGAAUCGCUAGUAAUCGUGGAUCAGCAUGCCACGGUGAAUACGUUCCCGGGCCUUGUACACACCGCCCGUCACACCAUGGGAGUUGGUUUUACCUGAAGGUAGUGCGCUAACCGCAAGGGGGCAGCUAAC
rnacentral:rRNA from 1 species